rnacentral:SRP_RNA from 2 species
ACCUCAGGGUGCGUGCCUGUGGUCCUGGCUACUUGGAGGCUGAGGCAGGAGGAUGGCUUGAGCUCAGGAGCUCUGGGCUGCAGUGCACUGUGCCCAUCAGGUGUCCGUGCUAAAUUCAGCAUCAAGAGGGUGACCUCCCUGGAGCGGGGAACCGCCAGGUUGCCUAAGGAGGGGUGAACCGACCCAGGUCGGAAACGGAGCAGGUCAAAACUCCCGUGCUGAUCCUUUGCACCACCUGCAAAGGAAUAAUUUCUGGGCCAACAAUAAAUACCAGACACAU